UAUAAUAUCGGAGAUAUUAAGUCUUCGAGCUUAUUAAUAAUCGUUACGUAUUAUUAUGUUGUUUGAAUAUGAGGUGUUUGGAGGUGUCAGGGUUGGCGACGGAAGGGACGGGUUGUGUGAUGGACCUGCCGGGACUUGGGGGCGGGGCAAGGGGCGUGGCCUGGCGCGUGAGGGAGGGAGGGAGGAGGGGGGAGAGCCGGGGAAGGGAACAGCCAAGAUGGCGGCCGGGCUGAGGCGAGCGAAGCGCCGCUGAGGAGAACGUCAGCAAAAGGCCUUUAUUUUAUAUUAUUAUGAUUGUGAGACGCUUUGGGGCUGAACCGGCCCGUCCUGGUGCCGUAUAAGCUGAUCCGGGACAGCCCCGAGGCCCUCGAGGUGCUCGGCCUCCCAGACGAGAUCCCGUUCCGGAACCCCAACACCUACGACAUCCACCGGCUGGAGAAGAUCCUCAAGGCUCGCGACCGCAUCCGCAUGGUGGUGACGAAUCCGCUUCAGUAAGCCCGGCCUUCCUGCCUGUAUUUCAUCGCAUAGUAGUCACCCCUUUGUCAUAGUCACACCACCAUCUUUUGGGUGGCAAUGAUCCCCGCAUAACACUAUGUAACACAACUUUCUGGAGUAAAAAAAAAAUUCCUUGUGA